rnacentral:pre_miRNA from 1 species
CAACUACUCCCCCUAUCCCAAAUUUCUUGUCUUAGAUUUGUCUAGAUACGGAUGUAUCUAAUACUAAAAUGUGACUUGAUACAUCCGUAUCUAGACAAAUCUAAGACAAGAAUUUUGGGACGGAGGGAGUACUUU